GUUGGAUCAUACGUAACUAAUCCUACCGAGCACUCUAAGGUCGUUAGAAUUCGUGACAUGGACUUGCUAUCUGGGAGUGCUGGGGUGGUCAUGGAUCAAGGUUCUUGGAUUAACAUAUAGUUGAUACAUUGCUUUUGAAAAUUUAUUAUGAAAUAGUUGUUAAACGAUUUAUUAUAUGCUUCCGCUACACAACUCUUUGAAAUAAUCUUAUGAUUGACAUUUACUAUUGGUAAUUAAUGACAUGUUUUGUUUAAAUACUA